CAGCAGCCGCGGAAUACGUAGGGUGCAAGCGUUAAUCGGAAUUACUGGGCGUAAAGCGUGCGCAGGCGGUUAUAUAAGACAGAUGUGAAAUCCCCGGGCUCAACCUGGGAACUGCAUUUGUGACUGUAUAGCUAGAGUACGGCAGAGGGGGAUGGAAUUCCGCGUGUAGCAGUGAAAUGCGUAGAUAUGCGGAGGAACACCGAUGGCGAAGGCAAUCCCCUGGGCCUGUACUGACGCUCAUGCACGAAAGCAUGGGGAGCAAACAGGAUUAGAUACCCGAGUAGUCCCUGUCUCUUAUACA
rnacentral:rRNA from 1 species